CAUGCAAGUCGAACGGAACUAGAGGGCGACUUUUAGUUUAGUGGCGAAAGGGUUAGUAAUACAUGAAUAACUUACCCUUUACCUGGGGAUAACGGCUGGAAACGGUCGCUAAUACCGAAUGAGGUACUGAUAGGGAGCUAUUGGGGAUCAAAGUAGGGGACCUUGUAAGAGGCCUUGCGGUAAAGGAUAGGUUCAUGGGAUAUCAGCUAGUUGGUGUGGUAAGAGCGCACCAAGGCUAAGACGUCUAGGCGGAUUGAGAGAUUGACCGCCAACAUUGGGACUGAGACACUGCCCAAACUCCUACGGGAGGCUGCAGUCGAGAAUCUUUCGCAAUGGGCGAAAGCCUGACGAAGCGACGCUGCGUGAGUGAUGAAGGCUUUCGGGUUGUAAAACUCUUUCGUGCAAGAGCAAAGUGGGUUAGUGAAUAACUGAUUCAUAUGAGAGUACUGCAUAAAGAAGCACCGGCUAACUCCGUGCCAGCAGCUGCGGUAAUACGGAGGGUGCAAGCAUUAAUCGGAAUUAUUGGGCGUAAAGGGCGCGUAGGCGGGAUUAGAAGUCAGAUGUGAAAUUUCGAAGCUCAACUUCGGAGCCGCAUUUGAAACUGCAAUUCUUGAGGGAUGGCGGAGGAAACGGAAUUCCACGUGUAGCGGUGAAAUGCGUAGAUAUGUGGAGGAACACCUGUGGCGAAAGCGGUUUUCUAGCUUUUACCUGACGCUGAGGCGCGAGAGCAAGGGGAGCAAACAGGAUUAGAUACC
rnacentral:rRNA from 1 species